rnacentral:rRNA from 1 species
GGGCCCGCACAAGCGGUGGAGCAUGUUGUUUAAUACGUCACUAACCGUAGAACCUUACCAGGGCUUGACAUCUACCGAACCUUGCGGAAACGCAGGGGUGCCCUUCGGGGAGCGGUAAGACAGGUGUUGCAUGGCUGUCGUCAGCUCGUGUCGUGAGAUGUUGGGUUAAGUCCCGCAACGAGCGCAACCCUCAUCCUGUGUUGCUACCGGUUCGGCCGGGCACUCUCAGGAAACUGCCCGUGCAAGCGGGAGGAAGGUGGGGAUGACGUCAAGUCAGCAUGGCCCUUACGCCCUGGGCUACAAACAUGCUACAAUGGCGCGUACAGAGGGCCGCGACCCCGCGAGGGUGAGCCAAUCCCACAAAGCGCGUCCCAGUUCGGAUCGGAGUCUGCAACUCGACUCCGUGAAGUCGGAAUCGCUAGUAACCGCAGGUCAGCUAUACUGCGGUGAAUACGUUCCCGGGCCUU